rnacentral:lncRNA from 1 species
AUUAAACAUAUAAAUAUUGUGAUUAAUGAUAACAAAUUAUGACGUAACACAAUCUGCUUUGUAUUAUAAUGAAACAUAUGUUAUUGGUAAAUGCGAUCAUUAAUACAUUCGUUCAAUUAUAACAAUAUCUAUCAAUUUAAAAAAAAAUUAAUUGCCAUUUAUUGGCUUAUAAUAUACAGAUGCGUUGUGUGACGUAUUAGGAUAAAAUUAUUUCGUUUUCACUGUUCACGAGGCACAGCGUGAAAUGGGAUUUAAUGGACAUUUUUUCAACAUUUAACAAAUAAUAAGAACUUUAAAAUAUUAUUUUCAUAUUCUAUUUAUUUAAAAAGUAAUUUAAAUUCUUAAUUAGUUUAUACAGCAUUUCGAACGUGAAACAAAAUACAAGGGAAGCGGCGCAUCCACCGCUUCUAAUGACGGCACGCCACUGGUAAAAUCACAAUCCCUUCAGAUUUGGAUACAGUAGUUACGUCCUUAUCAGAGCUAACUUCUAAAAUAUAUUCCGAUAUAAGUAACAUCAAAAAGAAGCCCAUAGAAUGGUUGUGCGAGCGUGCUAUCUUAACUCCGAGAAACGAUAGCCGCAAUUAAUGAUAUCCUAUUAAAGGCCUUCGAAGCUCAAGAUCUUGAAUACAGGUCUUUUGAUUCAGUGAUCCAAACGGACGACGCCGUCCACUAUCCGACAGAAUUUCUUAAUACUCUGAAUCCUCCUGGUCUGCCAUCACAUAAACUCAUUCUUAAAGUCGGAGCACCUGUAAUGAUAUUAAGAAAUCUUAAUCCACCAAAAUUAUGCAAUGGUAUGAGACUACAAGUAAAAGCUUUGCAUAAGAACAUUGUAGAAGCUACAGUGAUCACUGGAUGUGCUCGAGGAGAGAUAGUUUUUAUCCCAAGAAUACCAUUAAUACCAUCAGAAUAUCCGUUCGAAUUUAAGAGAACACAGUCCCCUCUCAAGAUGUGUUUUGCCAUGACUAUUAAUAAAUCACAAGGACUGAAAAUGGCCGGCAUCGACUUGAGUGGAGCUAUUUUUCUCAUGGACAGUUCUUUGUCGCAUGUUCCAGAGUAAGCUCUGCGAAUAGUCUGGUCAUCUUAGCCCCGAACGGUUGUACUGCAAACAUGGUUUACAAAGAGGUUCUGGGGUAACUGAAACUAUUUUUCUAAUGUCUAACGGUCAAAGAAAACUGUCUGGUUACCAGUACAAAAAAAGAAGGCUGGAAAAGGAAGCCGAAAGGCAAAAACAAGCUGGCGCGUUAAAAAAUUAUAUCUAGAGUUGUACCAAAACAAAUGACGACUCUGAAAACUCAACAUCAAGUCCGGUUAUAAAAGAAAAUACAAAAUCAUCAAAGGAUGAUGAUGACAAACAAAUGGACAAAGUUUCUAAAUCAAUUGGAACUGACGACACUGAGUCUAUCAUCACCAGAUGAAAGCAUUGAAAAAAUUGACACCAACGUGACUCCCAUAGAAAGCGUUCUAUUAAACUCUGAGUACCGAUCCAGCAUUGUGGCCAAAAAUUCUAGGAGACGCCGAGAAAUGUUUUUUAGUAAGACAAGAUCCACCUAAACCAUUGCAUAAUUACAAAUUUCCUUCCAAUGACACUGGUCGACAUUUUAGCGUAAAUUAUUAUACACAAAGUUUUAAUCAAUGGAGAGUAAGUUUUACGAGAUUGGCAAGUGUACUCUCUUUCACAAAACUGCGUUUACUGCUUCUGUUGCAAAAUUUUCGGCUGUAUAGUUAGUUCUCUUUCAAAGGAGGGUUUUAAAAGUUGGAAGCACCUUGGCGAAACUUUAAAAGAGCAUGAAAUUUCUUUAGACCCAUUUCCCUGACCGGUUGUUUGAAUCCACCUCUCUCCCGCCAGACGGCAUAAGAGCGCUCUGGCGCUGCAGAUUUUGUCAUUUCUCGUGUGUUUUGUCCUGUUUGGUUGUUUGAACCCACCUCUCUCCCGCCAGACGGCAUAAGAGCGCUCUGGCGCUGCAGAUUUUGUC